UGGGGAAUUUUGGACAAUGGGCGAAAGCCUGAUCCAGCAAUGCCGCGUGUGUGAAGAAGGCCUUCGGGUUGUAAAGCACUUUUGUCCGGAAAGAAAUCCUUGGCUCUAAUACAGUCGGGGGAUGACGGUACCGGAAGAAUAAGCACCGGCUAACUACGUGCCAGCAGCCGCGGUAAUACGUAGGGUGCAAGCGUUAAUCGGAAUUACUGGGCGUAAAGCGUGCGCAGGCGGUUUGCUAAGACCGAUGUGAAAUCCCCGGGCUCAACCUGGGAACUGCAUUGGUGACUGGCAGGCUAGAGUAUGGCAGAGGGGGGUAGAAUUCCACGUGUAGCAGUGAAAUGCGUAGAGAUGUGGAGGAAUGCCGAUGGCGAAGGCAGCCCCCUGGGCCAAUACUGACGCUCAUGCACGAAAGCGUGGGGAGCAAACAGGAUUAGAUACCCUGGUAGUCCACGCCCUAAACGAUGUCAACUAGUUGUUGGGGAUUCAUUUCCUUAGUAACGUAGCUAACGCGUGAAGUUGACCGCCUGGGGAGUACGGUCGCAAGAUUAAAACUCAAAUGAAUUGACGGGGUCAUAGCUGUUUCCU
rnacentral:rRNA from 1 species